GUGUCAGCAGCCGCGGUAAUACGAAGGGGGCUAGCGUUGUUCGGAUUUACUGGGCGUAAAGCGCGUGUAGGCGGACUUGUAAGUUGGGGGUGAAAUCCCGAGGCUCAACCUCGGAACUGCCUCCAAAACUACAAGUCUGGAGCAAGAUAGAGGCAAGUGGAAUUGCGAGUGUAGAGGUGAAAUUCGUAGAUAUUCGCAGGAACACCAGUGGCGAAGGCGACUUGCUGGAUCUUUGCUGACGCUGAGACGCGAAAGCGUGGGGAGCAAACAGGAUUAGAAACCCGCGUAGUCC
rnacentral:rRNA from 1 species